CGAGCCAUUUGCAAAAAAAUCUCUCAGUGGUUAUGUAGAGACGUUGAUCUGGUCUUUCAAUGGUUACUCAUCAUUUCUGAAAGGAGACUGAAGAUUCUUUCCAAGUUCCACAUAGGCAAAACAGUGCGUAGAAGCUGAACCUAAGUUCUAUGGCAAGAACCCCUGAUUUCUCUGCCAGUCUGAAGCAAAAUGCUCUAGCAAACAGGAAUUUAUGUAUCAGCUUCAUAUAAACUUCAAAACUAAGGAAUGUGCUGCACUACAGCAAAUCAUCUGGGUCCAUCCUGUGGUUUCUGCAAUGGAAAGGCCGGUUGGGGCAGUACAAGGAAUGGAGAGAGUUUCCAGAGGAAGCCUACGAUGCAGUGAAGGUAAUCUAGGUAUGAUUAAAAAACUAAGGCUGGUAACGUAUGUUGUCUCAUAGGCCGCAGAACAGAGUGGGCCACCCGGGCCA
rnacentral:lncRNA from 1 species